CCUANGGGAGGCAGCAGUAAGGAAUAUUGGUCAAUGGACGAAAGUCUGAACCAGCCAUGCCGCGUGAAGGAUUAAGGCCCUCUGGGUUGUAAACUUCUUUUAUCUGGGACGAAAAAAGGGUAUUCUUACUCACUUGACGGUACCAGAGGAAUAAGCACCGGCUAACUCCGUGCCAGCAGCCGCGGUAAUACGGAGGGUGCAAGCGUUAUCCGGAUUUACUGGGUUUAAAGGGUGCGUAGGUGGAUUUGUAAGUCAGUGGUGAAAUCUCCGGGCUUAACCCGGAAACUGCCAUUGAUACUAUAAGUCUUGAAUUAUCUGGAGGUAAGCGGAAUAUGUCAUGUAGCGGUGAAAUGCUUAGAUAUGACAUAGAACACCAAUUGCGAAGGCAGCUUACUACGGAUAUAUUGACACUGAGGCACGAAAGCGUGGGGAUCAAACAGGAUUAGAUACCCCGNUANUC
rnacentral:rRNA from 1 species